AGCACCGUAUAUCAGUGGUAGAUUAUCAGAAACCUUCGUCUGAGUGUCACAGGUUCGAUUCCUGUCGGUGCUA
rnacentral:tRNA from 1 species